AUCUUUCCAUGUCAAAAAAAAUAUUAAAUUUAUUUUUCAUAGGAAGGGGCUCACAAUAGUGGCUUGCCAUUAGAGCCCUUGAGCGUCACUUAGGCGUUGCACUACCGCCAAAGCCUGGCGCACCCCAA
rfam:Oryza glaberrima chromosome 7 Oglab07_0141_24, whole genome shotgun sequence.